GGGAGACGUUGUCGGCGCGUGGGGAGGAUAAAGCAGGUUAGCUAGACCAGAACAUACAGGGACUUUAAGGAGGAAAGAGAGAGAAAGAUUGGUGAUCAUCACUAUAAUGGGGCAUUUCUCCU